UACAGAGGUCCCGAGCGUUGUUCGGAUUCACUGGGCGUAAAGGGCGCGUAGGCGGCCUCCGCAAGUCAAUUGUGAAAUCUCCGGGCUUAACUCGGAAAGGUCAACUGAUACUGCGGGGCUAGAGUGCGGAAGGGGCAACUGGAAUUCUUGGUGUAGCGGUGAAAUGCGUAGAGAUGCGGAGGAACACCGAUGGCGAAGGCAGCCCCCUGGGCCGACACUGACGCUCAGGCACGAAAGCGUGGGGAGCAAACAGG
rnacentral:rRNA from 1 species